rnacentral:ncRNA from 1 species
CCAUUCCAUUUCUGAAGUCCUGACGGAUGAUGUGGGAAAUCAUCCAUAACACCGUCAUCGUGUUUACGGGACAAACUGCCAAAUUCCGGGAACCCCCUAGAAAUCCAAGUACCAAGCUAUAGUAUAAAGACUAUAGGUGGAUGAACUAAUCACUCAUGUAAGGUAACAACCUUGGAAGCUUCUGAAAAGAAUGUGGGUAACCGCGGAUCUAAAUCAGUCACUGUUUUAUCUCUAAAUAAAACACAAACUGUAAAAGAGCAACGAGUAUACGGUAGUUGAUAUGAUUUAGCAUAUUUAAGAUGUAUUCUAUCAGGUUUCGAGAGAAACCG